CCCGCUGCGCCCCGCCCCCGGCAGGCCACGCCCCCGCGGAAAGCCGGGGAGGUCCGGGCGUCUCGGCCCGCUUCCCUCGAACCCGAGCGGAGGCGGGCCGGGGGCGCUGGGCUCCGUGGCAUGGGCCACGGUUCUUGUGGCUCGGCUCCUGGAGGCUGCAUUGAAGAACUGGGGGACUGACUUGUCUUCCUGGUGCGUGAUCUGGGGUCACGAUUUUUUCUGUCUGUGCUCGGAAAUCAUGGAAACAGCCAUCUCUUGCCUAAUUAUGUUUUAUAGACUUGAAUUUAAAAUUCUUGCCCGUGGCGCAGAUGGAAAGCUUUGAAGACCGAGGUUCUGGGGACCCUGUGGCCUGGUUCACCUGAUAGAACGUGGACUUGGGCUCAGUGUGACUUCAGGGCACCGAAAGGAUGCCUCUAACACAUUUACUGCCAUACCCAGCGCACAGCAUAACAGCAGGGAUGGGUGGUGGCCGAGCGGCGUGCACUCCCUAAAGCAUUCCUCACCGCGGCAGGACUGGCUGCUUUGAGAAAGAACCUGGUCUAGAGAAAGGACCGAACUGGAGUUGGCUGCUCUGGAGCCAGUCUUGGGCUAGCAGUUGAUCACUUUCACCCUCACCCAAGGCUUAAUAUGAAAGCAGCUCACACUGAGAAAACCGGUGCCCACCAGCGGCCCGCCCACUGACCAGUUUGAGGAGGGGUCUGCGAUUCUUCACCUACGCGGAUCGUACUCGCAGCGGUCAGCGGCAGAAUAGCAGCUCUGCCACCUUGUGGUAGCGGGAGGCAGUGCGUCCCCCUCCAAUUCCAGAAACAUCCUCGUGGCCUUGCAGCCUGAGGAAGUUUUUCAUUGUUUAUUCUGAUAGAAAGAGCGAAACUUAAUAGACAAAACAAAUAAACAAAACCAC